GGGGCCGAUCCGGAUUCGACGAGGGUCGCGAAACAGAGCAGGGCAUGUCGAGCACCAGUACGCUCGUAAAACCACUGGAACACUACAAACGCCAACGACGAGCGUUUCGCUCUCGCCGCUUAAGCGGUGAGCCGUUGCACUGAUCUGUCCUUGGGUCAGGCGGGGUAAAACCCGCAGCAACGUUAUCUACAAGGAAUCGGGCAAUGUCAGGUCACUCGGCAUUGUCUUAAAGCCAUGUGAAUCGCCUCGGUCCGGCCUGUCGGUCGGCUAAGUCCGGGGUUAAAUCCAAAUAGACCGACUACGCAUGUAGAACUGCCUGCAGAGGGCUCGCGGACGGGGGUUCAAUUCCCCCCGGCUCCACCA
rnacentral:tmRNA from 1 species